AACGUAGGAGACAAACGUUAUCCGGAGUUACUGGGCGUAAAGGGCGUGUAGGUGGUUUCGUAAGUCUGGCGUGAAAUUUCUCGGCUUAACCGAGGCAGGUCGUCGGAUACUGCGGAACUAGAGGACGGUAGAGGCGUGUGGAAUUCCGGGUGUAGUGGUGAAAUGCGUAGAGAUCCGGAGGAACACCAGUGGCGAAGGCGACACGCUGGGCCGUACCUGACACUGAGGCGCGAUAGCAUGGGGGAGCAAACAGG
rnacentral:rRNA from 1 species